rnacentral:rRNA from 1 species
CAGUAGCCGCGGUAACACGUAGGGUGCGAGCGUUGUCCGGAAUUACUGGGCGUAAAGAGCUCGUAGGCGGUUUGUCGCGUCGUCUGUGAAAUUCUGCAGCUUAACUGUAGGCGUGCAGGCGAUACGGGCAGACUUGAGUACUACAGGGGAGACUGGAAUUCCUGGUGUAGCGGUGAAAUGCGCAGAUAUCAGGAGGAACACCGGUGGCGAAGGCGGGUCUCUGGGUAGUAACUGACGCUGAGGAGCGAAAGCGUGGGUAGCGAACAGGAUUAGAUACCCCAGUAGUCCCUGUCUCUUAUAC